UACCAGCACCCCGAGUGGUCGGGACGUUUAUUGGGCCUAAAGCAUCCGUAGCCGGUUCUACGAGUCUUCCGUUAAAUCCAACUGCUUAACAGGUGGGCUGCGGAAGAUACUAUAGAGCUAGGAGGCGGGAGAGGCAAGCGGUACUCGAUGGGUAGGGGUAAAAUCCGUUGAUCCAUUGAAGACCACCAGUGGCGAAGGCGGCUUGCCAGAACGCGCUCGACGGUGAGGGAUGAAAGCUGGGGGGAGCAAACAGG
rnacentral:rRNA from 1 species